ACAAUCCUGAAGUAUCCCUUUAAGGAUUCCAGCUUUAAAGCCAGCAGCAUAUCACACAGACAGAGAGGUUAGCUGGUUACAGGUUGGUUAAGGCCAGCAGCAUAUCACACAGACAGAGAGGUUAGCUGGUUACAGGUUGGUUAAGGCUAGCAGCAUAUCACACAGACAGAGAGGUUAGCUGGUUACAGGUUGGUUAAGGCCAGCAGCAUAUCACACAGACAGAGAGGUUAGCUGGUUACAGGUUGGUUAAGGCCAGCAGCAUAUCACACAGACAGAGAGGUUAGCUGGUUACAGGUUGGUUAAGGCCAGCAGCAUAUCACACAGACAGAGAGGUUAGCUGGUUACAGGUUGGUUAAGGCCAGCAGCAUAUCACACAGACAGAGAGGUUAGCUGGUUACAGGUUGGUUAAGGCUAGCAGCAUAUCACACAGACAGAGGGGUUAGCUGGUUACAGGUUGGUUAAGGCUAGCAGCAUAUCACACAGACAGAGAGGUUAGCUGGUUACAGGUUGGUUAAGGCCAGCAGCAUAUCACACAGACAGAGAGGUUAGCUGGUUACAGGUUGGUUAAGGCCAGCAGCAUAUCACACAGACAGAGAGGUUAGCUGGUUACAGGUUGGUUAAGGCUAGCAGCAUAUCACACAGACAGAGAGGUUAGCUGGUUACAGGUUGGUUAAGGCCAGCAGCAUAUCACACAGACAGAGAGGUUAGCUGGUUACAGGUUAGUUAAGGCUAGCAGCAUAUCACACAGACAGAGGGGUUAGCUGGUUACAGGUUGGUUAAGCCACAGACAGAGAGGUUAGCUGGUUACAGGUUGGUUAAGGCCAGCAGCAUAUCACACAGACAGAGAGGUUAGCUGGUUACAGGUUAGUUAAGGCUAGCAGCAUAUCACACAGACAGAGAGGUUAGCUGGUUACAGGUUGGUUAAGGCCAGCAGCAUAUCACACAGACAGAGAGGUUAGCUGGUUACAGGUUGGUUAAGGCCAGCAGCAUAUCACACAGACAGAGAGGUUAGCUGGUUACAGGUUGGUUAAGGCCAGCAGCGUUUCACACAGACAGAGAGGUUAGCUGGUUACAGGUUGGUUAAGGCCAGCAGCAUAUCACACAGACAGAGAGGUUAGCUGGUUACAGGUUGGUUAAGGCUAGCAGCAUAUCACACAGACAGAGAGGUUAGCUGGUUACAGGUUGGUUAAGGCCAGCAGCAUAUCACACAGACAGAGAGGUUAGCUGGUUACAGGUUGGUUAAGGCUAGCAGCUUUUCACACAUUGAGAACAUUGAGGUUAAACAAAGAGACUCAGUUCAUUGGUGGGAGUCUGUUUUAGACCAUUCCCAUUACUGUAGGAAGAAGACACCUCUCUCUCUUCUCUCUCUCUCCUCUCU